UAGGGAAUAUUGGACAAUGGGGGGAACCCUGAUCCAGUCAUGCCGCGUGGAGGAAGACUGCCCUCUGGGUUGUAAACUCCUUUUAUAUGGGAAGAACCGUCCUCAUUGAUGAGUGACCUGACGGUACCAUAGGAAUAAGCACCGGCUAACUCCGUGCCAGCAGCCGCGGUAAUACGUAGGGGGCAAGCGUUGUCCGGAUUUACUGGGUGUAAAGGGCGCGCAGGCGGGAUAAAAAGUCAGUGGUGAAAUCCUACAGCUUAACUGUAGAACUGCCUUUGAUACUUUUAUUCUUGAGUUCGGGAGAGAGAGACGGAAUGCCAGGUGUAGUGGUGAAAUACGUAGAUAUCUGGAAGAACACCAGUUGCGAAGGCGGUCUCUUGGUCCGACACUGACGCUGAGGCGCGAAAGCGUGGGGAGCAAACA
rnacentral:rRNA from 1 species